rnacentral:tRNA from 1 species
AAUCAUGAAGUAAAAUUUACAACUAAUUUCGACUUAGUAUUAGAAUUUAAUUAUUCCUUGAUUU